AACGCGAAGAACCUUACCAAGGCUUGACAUACACCGGAAACGUCCAGAGAUGGUCGCCCCCUUGUGGUCGGUGUACAGGUGGUGCAUGGCUGUCGUCAGCUCGUGUCGUGAGAUGUUGGGUUAAGUCCCGCAACGAGCGCAACCCUUGUUCUGUGUUGCCAGCAUGCCCUUCGGGGUGAUGGGGACUCACAGGAGACUGCCGGGGUCAACUCGGAGGAAGGUGGGGACGACGUCAAGUCAUCAUGCCCCUUAUGUCUUGGGCUGCACACGUGCUACAAUGGCCGGUACAAAGAGCUGCGAAACCGUGAGGUGGAGCGAAUCUCAAAAAGCCGGUCUCAGUUCGGAUUGGGGUCUGCAACUCGACCCCAUGAAGUCGGAGUUGCUAGUAAUCGCAGAUCAGCAUUGCUGCGGUGAAUACGUUCCCGGGCCUUGUACACACCG
rnacentral:rRNA from 1 species